rnacentral:pre_miRNA from 14 species
UUUCGUCUACCCUGUAGAUCGAGCUGUGUGUUUUGAAGUGUUCAUACACAAGCUAGACUGCAAGGUGAACGACAA